GGGUACUUGUACCUGGUGGCGAGCGGCGGACGGGUGAGUAAUACCUAGGAAUCUGCCUGGUAGUGGGGGAUAACGUUCGGAAACGGACGCUAAUACCGCAUACGUCCUACGGGAGAAAGCAGGGGACCUUCGGGCCUUGCGCUAUCAGAUGAGCCUAGGUCGGAUUAGCUUGUUGGUGAGGUAAUGGCUCACCAAGGCUACGAUCCGUAACUGGUCUGAGAGGAUGAUCAGUCACACUGGAACUGAGACACGGUCCAGACUCCUACGGGAGGCAGCAGUGGGGAAUAUUGGACAAUGGGCGAAAGCCUGAUCCAGCCAUGCCGCGUGUGUGAAGAAGGUCUUCGGAUUGUAAAGCACUUUAAGUUGGGAGGAAGGGCAGUUACCUAAUACGUAAUUGUUUUGACGUUACCGACAGAAUAAGCACCGGCUAACUCUGUGCCAGCAGCCGCGGUAAUACAGAGGGUGCAAGCGUUAAUCGGAAUUACUGGGCGUAAAGCGCGCGUAGGUGGUUCGUUAAGUUGGAUGUGAAAUCCCCGGGCUCAACCUGGGAACUGCAUUCAAAACUGACGGGCUAGAGUAUGGUAGAGGGUGGUGGAAUUUCCUGUGUAGCGGUGAAAUGCGUAGAUAUAGGAAGGAACACCAGUGGCGAAGGCGACCACCUGGACUGAUACUG
rnacentral:rRNA from 1 species